GCCAGGUGCAGUGGCAACGCCUGUAAUCCCAGUGGCUCUGGAGGCUGAGGCAGGAGGGUCACCAGAGUUCAAAGGUUUAAAGCCAGCCUCAGCAACUUAGCGAGGCCCUGUGCAAUUUAGUGAGAUCCUGUCUCUA
rnacentral:sRNA from 1 species